GUCUUUUUGUUUUAGAUUUAAAGUCUGGCCUGCCCACUGAUUAAUUGAAUGGCCGCGGUAUUUUGACCGUGCUAAGGUAGCAUAAUCAUUAGUUUUUUAAUUGAAAGCUGGAAUGAAGGGUUGCAUGAAAAAAAGGCUGUCUCUAUUUAAAUUUUUUAGAAUUUUAUUUUUAAGUUAAAAAGCUUAAAUUUUAUUAAAAGACGAGAAGACCCUAUAGAGUUUAAUAGAUUUAUUAAUUUUUUAUUUAGAAUUUAAUUAAUUGGUAAAAUAUAUUUAUUUGAUUGGGGUGAUUAGAAAAUUUAAUUAACUUUUCUUAAUUUUUAUAUUUAUAUAUAGUUAUAUGAUCCAGUAAAAAUUUGAUUAUAAGAAAAAUUACCUUAGGGAUAACAGCGUAAUUUUAUUAGAGAGUUCAAAUCGAUAAUAAAGAUUGCGACCUCGAUGUUGGAUUAAAGUUUAUAAUUGGUGUAGAAGCUAUAUUAUUAAGUCUGUUCGACUUUUAAAAUUUUACA
rnacentral:rRNA from 1 species